rnacentral:rRNA from 1 species
AACGUACGCUGGCGGCACGCCUAACACAUGCAAGUCGAACGAAGUAGCAAUACUUAGUGGCAGACGGGUGAGUAACAUGUAGGUAUCUGCCCUUUGGCCUGGAAUAACACGAGGAAACUUGUGCUAAUACCGGAUAAGUCUUUACGGAGAAAGCUUUAUGCACCAUUGGAGGAGCCUGCACUAGAUUAGUUUGUUGGUGGGGUAAUGGCCUACCAAGACUGUGAUCUAUAGCUGAUUUGAGAGGAUGAUCAGCCACAUUGGGACUGAGACACGGCCCAAACUCCUACGGGAGGCAGCAGUGGGGAAUCUUGCACAAUGGAGGAAACUCUGAUGCAGCGAUGCCGCGUGAGUGAAGAAGGCCUUUGGGUUGUAAAGCUCUUUCGUCGGGGAAGAAAAUGACUGUACCCGAAUAAGAAGGUCCGGCUAACUUCGUGCCAGCAGCCGCGGUAAUACGAAGGGACCUAGCGUAGUUCGGAUUUACUGGGCUUAAAGAGUUCGUAGGUGGUUGAAAAAGUUGGUGGUGAAAUCCCAGAGCUUAACUCUGGAACUGCCAUCAAAACUUUUCAGCUAGAGUAUGAUAGAGGAAAGCAGAAUUUCUAGUGUAGAGGUGAAAUUCGUAGAUAUUAGAAAGAAUACCAAUUGCGAAGGCAGCUUUCUGGAUCAUUACUGACACUGA